rnacentral:lncRNA from 1 species
CAGUGGCCCAUUCUCAUGAGAUGUCCCAGGGGAACACAGCCUAUGCCUUUUCCCUUUCUUCCCGUAGAAGCUGCAAAGAAGCCCAAGAAAUUUGCCGAAGAACAGGUGGCAAAAGAGCCCAAAGUGAAGAAGAGAAAGUUGGUGAGGACCAGCGCUGGGUGUUAAAGGAAUCCCACUGACCAGCAGCAGUGGGGCCACUACUCCUUUUGGGUAAGUGAACAGUUCAGCUCCAAACCCCACCUGACAGCCUGUUUCCAGCGCCAUCUCGGGGGCGAUGUAUCUUAGCCUGGGUCCUCC